CCUACGGGAGGCAGCAGUGGGGAAUAUUGCACAAUGGGCGAAAGCCUGAUGCAGCAACGCCGCGUGCGGGAUGAAGGCCCUAGGGUUGUAAACCGCUUUCAGCAGGGAAGAAAAUGACGGUACCUGUAGAAGAAGGUGCGGCCAACUACGUGCCAGCAGCCGCGGUGACACGUAGGCACCAAGCGUUGUCCGGAUUUAUUGGGCGUAAAGAGCUCGUAGGCGGUUCAGUAAGUCGGGUGUGAAAACUCUGGGCUCAACCCAGAGACGCCACCCGAUACUGCUGUGACUAGAGUGCGGUAGGGGAGCGGGGAAUUCCUAGUGUAGCGGUGAAAUGCGCAGAUAUUAGGAGGAACACCAGUGGCGAAGGCGCCGCUCUGGGCCGUAACUGACGCUGAGGAGCGAAAGCGUGGGUAGCAAACAGGAUUAGAUACCCUGGUAGUCCACGCCGUAAACGUUGGGCACUAGGUGUGGGUCUCAACCAACGAGAUCCGCGCCGUCGCUAACGCAUUAAGUGCCCCGCCUGGGGAGUACGGUCGCAAGGCUAAAACUCAAAGGAAUUGACGG
rnacentral:rRNA from 1 species